CUGGUCUUGACAUGUCGCGAAUCCUGCAGAGAUGCGGGAGUGCCUUCGGGAAUGCGAACACAGGUGCUGCAUGGCUGACGUCAGCUCGUGUCGUGAGAUGUUGGGUUAAGUCCCGCAACGAGCGCAACCCUUGUCCUUAGUUGCCAGCACGUAAAGGUGGGAACUCUAAGGAGACUGCCGGUGACAAACCGGAGGAAGGUGGGGAUGACGUCAAGUCAUCAUGGCCCUUACGACCAGGGCUACACACGUACUACAAUGGGAGGUACAGAGGGAAGCCAAGCCGCGAGGCGGAGCCAAUCCCGAUAAAACCUCUCUCAGUCCGGAUCGCAGUCUGCAACUCGACUGCGUGAAGUCGGAAUCGCUAGUAAUCGCGAAUCAGCAUUGUCGCGGUGAAUACGUUCCC
rnacentral:rRNA from 1 species